rnacentral:rRNA from 1 species
AUUGAACGCUGGCGGCAGGCCUAACACAUGCAAGUCGAACGGUAGCACAGAGAGCUUGCUCUCGGGUGACGAGUGGCGGACGGGUGAGUAAUGUCUGGGAGACUGCCCGAUGGAGGGGGAUAACUACUGGAAACGCUAGCUAAUACCGCAUAACGUCGCAAGACCAAAGUGGGGGACCUUCGGGCCUCACACCAUCGGAUGUGCCCAGAUGGGAUUAGCUAGUAGGUGGGGUAAUGGCUCACCUAGGCGACGAUCCCUAGCUGGUCUGAGAGGAGGACCAGCCACACUGGAACUGGGACACGGUCCAGACUCCUACGGGAGGCAGCAGUGGGGAAUAUUGCACAAUGGGCGCAAGCCUGAUGCAGCCAUGCCGCGUGUAUGAAGAAGGCCUUCGGGUUGUAAAGUACUUUCAGCGGGGAGGAAGGCGGUGAAGUUAAUAACUUCACCGAUUGACGUUACCCGCAGAAGAAGCACCGGCUAACUCCGUGCCAGCAGCCGCCGUAA